UUUUUUUUUUUUUUUUCAAUCUAUGCCUCACAUAGACACCAAAACCAUCUGUUUAUAAAAUAAAUCUCGUUGACACACUUCUGUAUUAAUUAUUACCAGGAUUAGUGGUUCUUACCACAUUUGCCCACUAGAAUCGCUUAAGGGGAAAAGUGGUAAAAAUACCAGUGUUUGAAGGGAGGUGGGUAGGGGUGGGGCUGACUGGGUGACCGGCACUGAGGGGGCACUUGAUGGGAUGAGCACUGGGUGUUAUUCUAUAUUUUGGCAAAUUGAACACCAAUAAAAAUAAAAUAAAAUAAAAACAAAUAAAUAAAUAAAAUAAAAAAUAAAAAAAUACCAGUGUUGGGACCUGCCUCUCUGAUCCCUACAAAUCCAUUAAAUCAGAAUCUCUGAAGUUAGUGCUAGGUCUCCAACAUUUUUAAAACACUCCUGAAUGGUUCUUACAUAUAGCCCAAGUUAAGAAUACUGACCUUGAGAGUAUAUUUUAGAUGCCACAUACGAAUAUUGAAGCUUUUUAAGUGAUAUGCAUAGGAUUUGCUAUCAAAUGGAUCUGGAUUCAAUUCCUAAGUAUUUCACUUGCUCAUGACACUUGACUCCCCCUGAGUUUCUCUUUCCUCAUCUACAAUAUGGAAAUGGCUACAAUAUGUGUGGAAAAGCAGAAUUAUCUAUUUCCUUCCAUCUUUAUUCUUUUCCCUAUUCACUCUGUGUAAAGAAAGAUCCUUUAACACAUGUCUAAGUUUGCUAUUGGGGAUGACCGGGAUUAAUAGGAGAAAGGAUUGCUGCUUUUGAAAAUACUCUGUUAAAACAUCACUACCACCAACAGAAAACCAAACACCUAACCCUACUCUCCAGAACUUUGCAGCAUACGAUGGAUAGCAGAUCCGUAGUAUUUCAACUUAAUACAUGCUCAGAGUGAAUUAAUAACUCAAGGAAACAUCGUGGGAUAUAGGGUUACUAUCACUUUCCAAUGAAUUACAUAAUGUUCAGUAAUAUUACUUCUUCUUUUAAUAAAACUCAUUUUGAUACAUUUUGAAAGCUGUGGAGAAAACAACCCUCAUACAGAGAUUUUUAACUCAUUUCUAGGUAUAGGAACUUGAGCCAAGAAAAGUGUGACCUAAGUGUGACACUUCCAUUACAUCACCAGAGUCUUCAUGCCAGGGGCAUCUUUGAUAUGAGAUUUGCAUACAAUGAAGCACUUUUCAGCAUAGGUAAUAUCUUCCUUAAGAAUAUCAAUCAUUCAUAAAAUAUAGUUCAUGAAGUACUUUAACAUAUCUAAUUAUAUUUGAGUAUUGAAAGAAAAACUUUUUAAAGGAAGAGAACAGAUAAUAUUUGUUCCUUUUCAUGAUUGAAAAAUUGGGGGAAAUUGACCUCCUUAUGGCCACUCAGCACUUUGCUACAUGUAGGAAUCAGACCUUGGACUUCCAGUUUAAUUUCCAUUCUAAUAGCACAUACUGCUGUUUCUCCUAAAUUGGCAGAAAGAUCUCAGAUAGCCUAUUCUUGUAGCAAUCAAAAUGCUUUUGUGGAGGUUGUUUUCAACAACAACAACAAAACACAUGAAAUUGUAA
rnacentral:lncRNA from 1 species